ensembl:lncRNA
UCUGUUCCUCUUUACAGCAAGCCUGGAGCUGCCCCUGCCUGGCUGCUCAGGUACGGCAUCGAUUUCCCAGGUUCCUGGAGCAGAACGGAUUCAGCAGCUCCACAGCCUGCUUUGCAGUGAUGGAUGGGAAUGAUUAUCUUUGUUAAUCCCACUAAGCCUACGGUCUCAACUUUUGAGGGUGCUUAAAGGAACACUUGAGGAGGAGCAUGUGAAGAUGUGUGGAGCACCUGCUCCUGUACCCCUGUCAGUAUUGACCUGAGGGCACUAUCUGGUGCAAGGAUUUUAAACAGGAAUAGUUCAGAGCAACCAGACUGUAGGCUUCGACAGGGACUUGGACUAAUGCUCCAAACGAGGACCACACUCCUGAGUCACACCCAUUGGCUGCUUUGGAGGUGGUGUUAUGCUCAAGGCUACAGGUGGGAAGGAAUAAUCCAGCUGGGUCUGGUUAUGGAGAGGCAGAUCAUCCCGUUUCGUCCCCCCUGUCACACACGGGAUGUGCCUCCAUUUGUCUCUGGCUGUGAAACAGCAGCGCACACUGAGGCAGAGGGCUGGGUAAAACCCCUUCAGCUGGCAGCUGGCACACAGAGAGGAGAGGGCUGGGAGCUCACCCUGACCUGCUAAGGGAAGCAAGAUCCUCGAUGAUAACCCUGUCUUCACUUGGAUUUUAUCUCAUGUGUGUUACCAUAAAUUCUGUCAUGCCCUUCCUGUUUCUUUCUUUGGAGUCAGUGAAGACCUGAGCUCUUUCUAAGAGACACUUCAUUUCCACCCAACAUGCUGAUCUAGUGAAAGACUUGCUGCUUAAUCUGGAGGUUGGGGUAGAGGGUGGGAUUGUUGCUUUGAGCCUCCCAGCUUGUGGGAGCACUGCCAUUUCCUGCUCUCGCCUCCCAGCACGGGGCCCUCACCACUGCUCUCCCUGGCAAUGGCCUGUUUCCAGCGGUGUCUUCCAGCAGCAAUCAGCACUGAACUGGGGGCUGCAUGCCCAGGAACCAAGCACUGGGGAGCAGUGCCUGGUUUCAAGCGUUGCUCCAUGGGUUGCAAGCACAAGUAUCAGUUUCCUCCAUCCUGAGCUCCGUGUGGCCGC